rnacentral:rRNA from 1 species
UACAGAGGGUGCGAGCGUUGUUCGGAAUUAUUGGGCGUAAAGAGCUCGUAGGCGGUUUGUCGCGUCUGCUGUGAAAACUCGGGGCUUAACCCCGGGCCUGCAGUGGGUACGGGCAGACUAGAGUGCGGUAGGGGAGACUGGAAUUCCUGGUGUAGCGGUGAAAUGCGCAGAUAUCAGGAGGAACACCGGUGGCGAAGGCGGGUCUCUGGGCCGAUACUGACGCUGAGGAGCGAAAGCGUGGGGAGCGAACAGG